rnacentral:rRNA from 1 species
UGGGGAAUAUUGCACAAUGGGCGAAAGCCUGAUGCAGCAACGCCGCGUGCGGGAUGACGGCCUUCGGGUUGUAAACCGCUUUCAGCAGGGACGAAGGUUUUCUGACGGUACCUGCAGAAGAAGCACCGGCUAACUACGUGCCAGCAGCCGCGGUGAUACGUAGGGUGCGAGCGUUGUCCGGAAUUAUUGGGCGUAAAGAGCUUGUAGGCGGUCCGUUGCGUCGGAAGUGAAAACUCAGGGCUUAACCCUGAGCCUGCUUUCGAUACGGGCGGACUUGAGGGAUGUAGGGGAGAACGGAAUUCCUGGUGGAGCGGUGGAAUGCGCAGAUAUCAGGAGGAACACCAGUGGCGAAGGCGGUUCUCUGGACAUUUCCUGACGCUGAGAAGCGAAAGCGUGGGGAGCAAACAGGCUUAGAUACCCUGGUAGUCCACGCCGUAAACGGUGGGCACUAGGUGUGGGACCCAUUCCACGGGUUCCGUGCCGUAGCUAACGCAUUAAGUGCCCCGCCUGGGGAGUACGGCCGCAAGGCUAAAACCUCAAA